UACGUAGGGGGCAAGCGUUGUCCGGAAUUAUUGGGCGUAAAGAGCGUGUAGGCGGCCAGAUAAGUCCGCUGUGAAAUCUCGAGGCUCAACUUCGAGCUGUCGGUGGAAACUAUCUGGCUAGAGUCCGGAAGAGGAGAAUGGAAUUCCUGGUGAUAGCGGUGAAUGACGCAGAUAUCAGGAAGAACACCCGUGGCGAAAGCGGCUCACUGGACCGGAACUGACGCUGGAGGCGACGAAAGCGUGGGGAGCAAACAGG
rnacentral:rRNA from 1 species